ACACAGUUUCGAAAAGAUGAUAAAACGGAUGUACACCUGCCUAAGGUUGAAGGAAUAGAGACCUAAUAUAUAAAAAACCAGCUUACAAGCUGCACUGCACAUUAUAAGUGCACAUAACUGCACAUUAUAAGUGCAAACCAAUUGUAUCAUUAGUUUACAGCCUUUGUAUCACUAUUUAGAAAUUAAAAAGCAAAUAAAAGAAACAUGAAAGCAUCAUUAGGCAAUUGAGACUCACAACACUGCUUGGCAUUGGUCAGACAUGUGCUAUCACAGUGCAGCUUGACUGUCUUGUCGACAACUUCAAUAUCAUUUUUAAAUUGGCAGAGGCAGCAGACCAUGUUGCUCGGUAAGAUCCUGCAGACAGGACACAGAGUUCUGAGUUAAUGGAAAGCUGCUCCUUGAAUGGUAAAGAGGCAGGACGAGGCUCCACAGUGUGGAGCAGGAAGGAGUGCUUGAGGCAGCCCUUGCGGCUGGGUAGGAAGCCAACAGCCACUGCAGCUUUUGGAUAUUGUGAGUAAAUAGGAGGGAGAGAGGGGUCCCCACAGAAGGAAGCUCAGCAGUGCGUGUGGUGGGCCUCACAUGAAGGUCCUGGAGAUUAGUGCUGAGUGACAGGAAUGUGUCCUUUCAUUCAGAAGCAUCUCCUUUCAACUUGUAAGUCUCACUGUGGGUUGGGAGUGCACAGGAAGUACAUCAGCUUCUAAAAAGCGGGAAUCAGGGCUGGUGGUUUAGCUCAGUGGCAUAAGCACCUGCCUUGCAAGCAGGCAGUCGUGAGUUCGAUCCCUGGUACCGGUAAAAAUGAAAAAGCCAAAAAAAAAAAAAAGUGGGAAUCAGCUUCCAAUGUGUGAGGUCCCUUUCACAACUUGGGUUCCGAGUGGUAAAUGUGAGACAUUUGGCAAAAAAGUCAGUUUAUCCCUACCUAUAUUGUGCGGUUAAUAACACAGAUCAAACUUGGUAAAUCUAGACAACUGGAGCAUUCAAAAGGUCAAGGAGGACUCAGUGGGGGUGAAGUGGCUCAGAGGGAGAGAGCUGGCCUAGUGUGCUCAAGUCCUGGGUUUGAUCCAUAGUAUCUCAAAAUACAGAAGGGAGAGGAGGAUGAGGGAGCAAUGACUACGUGAUGAAAGCAGCCAUGAAUUACUAGUGGCUCUGGAAAGGAUGGUGUCUAGCUAAUGUGGGUGGGAAGGGAAGCAGGUGCUGCAGGAAGUUGAGGAAGACGAGCCUGGAGCAGAAACCAAGGGGUUUGGCAGUGUGGGAAGUCAGUUGAGGAGGUGACCUGACAGAAACAAUGAGCGCAGACUGCUAAAUGAAAGGUGUCUUGCAAACCCUCAACUACUUCACUACUAAGUGAGCUUCUAUUUAGCUUGCUAUAUUGGAGGAGGAUGGCACAAUUCAAGUUGCAGUCAGUGGUAUAAAAACCAUCAAAACAGGGCACUACAUACAGUAGUACAGUAAUAUACUUCACACUCUGCAUGAAAAUUAACUCACAAUAGAUCAUAAACCUACCUGUAAUCCUAACACUCAGAAGCUGAGGCAGGAGGAUCACCAAUUGGAGCCCAGCCCAGGUAGAUCAGCAACUUAGUGAGACCCUGUCUCAAAACUACCAAUAAAAAAUGCUAGUGCAAGCACCAGGGUUUAAUCCCCAGCACCUCUGAAAAUAAUCACGGACCUAAGUAUGACUAGAGUUACACAGCGCAAUUCUGGAAGAAAGCAAGUGAGAAAAUCUCGUAGCCGUGGGUUAAACAAUGGGCACAUAAAACAAAGAUUUCUUAGGUAAGACAAGAAAAGGCCUGAAAGAACAAAAGCUUGCUAAAUUCUAUUUCAUCAAAAUUUUUAAAGUUAAGAUUUCUGUUCUACUCUAGUGCUCUGGGAAACUGAGGUAGGAUGCUUGUAAAUUUGGCCCAGUCUGGGCAACAUAACUCCAUGGUGAGACCUUGCUUCAAAAUAACAAAAUGAAAAAUGUGGAAGGGGAGGUCAUAGCUCAGUAAGAAAGGCCAAGUACUUAAAAAAUAAUAUCUGCACUCAUAAAGAUAAUCAUCAUUAGCUUAGCUAGUAAAGAAAUGCACACUUAAGCUACAAUGAGAUAGAUCCACAUACAUGGUGUUUAAAAGGCUGACCUUUUUUACAGAGUGAAAUGCAGGGAUCAGAUAAAGAUGAUGUGGUAACUCUUUUCUUUGUUUUUGAUUGGGGUACUAGCGAUUACACUGAGGGCAUUCACACUGGGCUGUCUCCAGCCUCUCUUUUUGUCCAGCUUUUACAUGUAUUUAUUCAUUUUCAUUUUGAGACAGGGUCACACUGUCAGUAAGAUACACAGGCUGACUUUGAACUUGCCAUCCUCCUGCCUCAGUCUCCCUGGGUGCUAGGAUUACAGGCCUGGGCCGCCACGCCUACCUGCCAUUUGAACUCCCAUAGACUGCACGUGGGAUGUAUGAAUGAUUAUCCUAAGUGGAUAAUAGCCAAACACAAAUGGCUGCACACUGCAUGAUUUCAUUUAUAAGACCUUCCAGAAAAUGUAAACGUACAGGGCAGAAAUAAGACUGGCAGAUUCUGGGAGCUGUGAUAGAUAGAGUGAACCAGCUGUGAAGGACAUGAGCUGCCUUCUGAAGGUGACCCAGAUGUUUUACAGCAGGGGUGUGGUGGUGGCUACAUAACCACACAAACUCCUCAAACGUGUGAGUUUUGUGACAUGGAAAUCACACGUCCAUAAGCCUGACUUAAUAGUAAAACAAACCUAGCAACAACAAUGAACCCAAGAGAAACAGAUCUGAGAAAAAAACUAACUUACAGUCUUUCCAAUUCAAGAGACUUCGUGAGGAUGUUCUCCAGUACUGUGAGUGACACAUGCGUCUGUCCCAAGUCCCUGAAGAAGAAAGCCAGACAGAAAUGAGGAAGCCCAAUGCCAAAAGUCUGUGCUUCAACAGUAACAAGGCCACUAUGUUUCCUGGGGUAAUGGUGUUCCUGCAUCCACUGAUGUGAUCCGUGUCUACCGUGUUCCUCAGUGGUGCUCCCGAUCCCUGCUGACUCUCUUGCCCAUUAUACAUCUUAAUCCUUCUCUUUGUGAAUAACCUGAUUAAAAUUAAACUUAUGACCUGUAGGAUCAAAAUACAAUACUGUACCAUUCUUGGAAGGAAGCAAGAAGAGCCAAAGUCAUAUUAUGACUUAAAGGUUAUGGCAAUACUUACAGAUAAUUUAAUGCUUGUAAUGUAAAAAGUGAUGGAUCUUCGAUAGUUGUCAGAGGAUUAUUAUUGAGAAUUCUGAAAAAUGCAAUGGGAUAAAAGUUAUCUGUAUUUUCAAUAUGCAUGAAAUUACAUAAAAAGUUGAUAUUCUUUUUUUGGUAUGGAGCUGAUUCAUAGGUUAAAAAACCAUUUUCUUUGAUUACCUAUGAAUAAACCUUAAAAUGCAUAAAGCA